AGAUCAAUGUGAGCCUAACUGUCUGAGGAUUCCUAAAGAUUAUUUCCAGAUAGCAGUCAGAUGUCC